CAGCACCUCAAGUGGUCAGGAUGAUUAUUGGGCCUAAAGCAUCCGUAGCCGGCGCUGUAAGUUUUCGGUUAAAUCUGUACGCUCAACGUACAGGCUGCCGGGAAUACUGCAGCGCUAGGGAGUGGGAGAGGCAGACGGUACUCGGUAGGAAGGGGUAAAAUCCUUUGAUCUAUUGAUGACCACCUGUGGCGAAGGCGGUCUACCAGAACACGUCCGACGGUGAGGGAUGAAAGCUGGGGGAGCAAACCGGAUUAGAGACCCGAGUAGUCC
rnacentral:rRNA from 1 species